rnacentral:rRNA from 1 species
GAUGAACGCUGGCUACAGGCUUAACACAUGCAAGUCGAGGGGAAACGACGGGGAAGCUUGCUUCCCCGGGCGUCGACCGGCGCACGGGUGAGUAACGCGUAUCCAACCUGCCUCUGACUGAGGGAUAACCCGUCGAAAGUCGGCCUAAUACCUCAUGGCAUCGUCUGCGGGCAUCCAACGACGAUUAAAGAUUUCAUCGGUCAGGGAUGGGGAUGCGUCUGAUUAGCUUGUUGGCGGGGUAACGGCCCACCAAGGCUACGAUCAGUAGGGGUUCUGAGAGGAAGGUCCCCCACAUUGGAACUGAGACACGGUCCAAACUCCUACGGGAGGCAGCAGUGAGGAAUAUGGGUCAAUGGGCGGGAGCCUGAACCAGCCAAGUAGCGUGCAGGAGGACGGCCCUAUGGGUUGUAAACUGCUUUUAUGCGGGGAUAAAGUGAGGGACGUGUCCUUCAUUGCAGGUACCGCAUGAAUAAGGACCGGCUAAUUCCGUG